AUUUGAAUUUCAGUUAAAAAAUAAUUUUUUUUUAGUAUAAGUAUGUCCCAUGCAGUAUUUGGAACAUACUUAUACUAAAAAUAAAUAUUCACUGUUUAUCUGAAAUUGAAAUUUAACUAGGCAUCCUGUAUUUU
rnacentral:miRNA from 1 species